AGACAAGUGUGGACCAUGGAUUUGAGCCUGAUGCCUUUGACUCAGCAUCUCCUUGCCAUCAGACCAAAGUGUUCCUCUUCUGUAAAGGACUGUUGCUAUCUACACACUGUUCUGAUGAUUUCUUCUGCGUGGAUGACUUCCAAUUCCAUCCUGUCCUCUGAUGUUGCUCCUGAGUCCUCAUCCUGCAGACAGCUCCAUUGGUGUGUGGGUCCCUACCAGCCCCUGAAUCUCCUGCCCACACACCUACCAGCUGUGAAGAGAGGAAUCAGCACACCAGCUAUAACUUCAUAUGACUAAUGGUAACCAUGGCGACCACUAAAUAUUCCUUCCAGACCUUGCAUCUGCACAGCUCAGUGAAGCAGAGGAAAUAAACGUUGCUGCUUUGAAAAAUGAUAAAAAUAAUCUGAACCAGCGACAGGCUUGCAAGGAAAGGAGAGAUCUCAAAUGUGAAGGUCAAGUCAUUUCAUCUUAUUCUCUCUCAGGCCUUUGUCUAAUCUCAGGAGGCAUUUGAUGCCAACUGAAUGGAUAGGUCACAGGCCCGCGGGAUGGAGAAUGAGACUUCUGAGGCCCUUGACUAAUUUUCAGAGAAGCUUCUGGGGUUCUGACAAUACUUGCUGGGUUGGUGUGAUGACCCCUAUGUUGAAACACUGAAAAUGAACAUUAAGGCCACUACAAGAGGCCCCGGGGCUAUGGUAGUUCUUGAUGUCAGGGCAUCUUAGUGGUUUAAGGACAAAGUAACGAGAAGACUGGCCAAGGUCAAAUGACAAUCAGGGAGCAGGAAUAGAGACAAGACAAAGGGACCUCCCAAGCCCAACAGAUUAGACAAGGAGAAUGGGUGACGGGUCAAUAUCAUCUUGGUAAAACAGGGGACAAGCUCCAGAAAGACUAAUUCCACCAGACAUCCCAGGAGAGUCUCCUAGGAAACAUAAAUGAGUGGGUUACUGUAGAAGGGGGUAGGGUCUCUGAGGAACUGGAGAGCCUAUGGCCUGUCUCCAGAGAGCAGCCUAUUGUUGCCAUGGCAGAUCCAGAGCUCCCAUUUCUCAAGAGAGGCUAUAAAUCUGGAUUUUUUAAAAAAUAAUUAAAUUUCUUAAUUUAAUUGUGUGUACGGGCUGCCAUUUUGCAUCCUUUGAAAUUGCGGUCCCAUUUUGAAAAUGAAAAUACGAAAUGCUAGGGAAAUGGGAUUCUGUAUAAUGACCUGUAUAAUG